rnacentral:rRNA from 1 species
GAUGAACGCUGGCGGCGUGCCUAAUACAUGCCAGUCGAGCGAACAGAUGAGGAGCUUGCUCCUCUGACGUUAGCGGCGGACGGGUGAGUAACACGUGGAUAACCUACCUAUAAGACUGGGAUAACUUCGGGAAACCGGAGCUAAUACCGGAUAAUAUAUUGAACCGCAUGGUUCAAUAGUGAAAGACGGUUUUGCUGUCACUUAUAGAUGGAUCCGCGCCGCAUUAGCUAGUUGGUAAGGUAACGGCUUACCAAGGCAACGAUGCGUAGCCGACCUGAGAGGGUGGUCGGCCACACUGGAACUGCGACACGGUCCAGACUCCUACGGGAGGCAGCAGUAGGGAAUCUUCCGCAAUGGGCGGAAGCCUGACGGGGCAACGCCGCGUGAGUGAUGAAGGUCUUCGGAUCGUAAAACUCUGUUAUUAGGGAAGAACAAAUGUGUAAGUAACUAUGCACGUCUUGACGGUACCUAAUCAGAAAGCCACGGCUAACUACGUG